CUCCUGAUGACAUCAUCAAGCUGAGUCCGUCUGCUCUCUUUCCUGUUGAUGAAAGGACUUUACUUUUGUCUUUUGUUUCAACAACAAAUGGGUCAAGGGCAUCUCCAA